rnacentral:ncRNA from 1 species
AAAAAUUUUAUUAAAAGUUUAUUUUAUAUAUAAAUUUUAGUGUAAAAUUAUUAUUAUUUUAAUAAUAAUAAUAAUGUUAUUGUAGUAAAUAAAAUUAAAAAUUUAAGAAAUUAAGAUUUAGUAAUACAAAAAUUAAUAACAAAUUUUGUGCCAGCAGUUGCGGUUAUACAAAAAUUAAAUUAAAUUAUUUCAGUAUAUGAAUAAUAAAUUAAAUUAAAAUAAAUAUUAAAUUAUUAGGUGAAAUUUUAAUUUAAAUAAAUUUUAUUAAAAAAUUUAUGUUUUAAUAAAUUUUAUUAUAAACUAGGAUUAGAUACCCUAUUAUUAAAAAUUUAAAUUAUAAUACUAAAAUAGUAGAUAAUUAUUUAUUGAAACUUAAAUAAUAUGGCGGUAUUUUAGUUCAUUUAGAGGAAUCUGUUUAAUAAUUGAUAGUCCACGAUUAAAUUUACUUAAUUAAUAAUUUUAUAUAUCGUUGUUAAAAAAAUAUUUUUAAUAAAAAAUAAUAUUUAAAAAUUAAAAUAAAAAAUUAAUUCAGAUCAAGAUGUAGAUUAUAAUUAAGAAUAUAAUGGAUUACAAUAAAUUUAUUUAAAAUGAAUAUAUUAUUGAAAAAUAAUAUUGAAGGUGGAUUUAAAUGUAAUUUUAUUUAGUUAAUUAAAAUGAUUAAAAAUUAAAAUAUGUACAUAUUGCCCGUCACUUUCAUUUAAAAAUUGAAAUAAGUCGUAACAAAGUAGAAGUACUGGAAAGUGUUUCUAGAAAGGA